GCCAGUGUGGCGUAAUGGUUAGAGUGCUGGACUAGGACAUGGGAAACCAGGGUUCAAAUCCCUGCUCAGCCA